ACGAACGCUGACGGCGUGCUUAACACAUGCAAGUCGAACGGUGAAGCGCCUUCCUUUUUGGUGGGUGUGGAUGAGUGGCGAACGGGUGAGUAACACGUGAGUAACCUGCCCCCUUCUUCUGGAUAACCGCAUGAAAGUGUGGCUAAUACGGGAUAUUCUGGGUCUGUCGCAUGAUGGGUCUGGGAAAGAUAUUGUUUCGGUGGGGGAUGGGCUCGCGGCCUAUCAGCUUGUUGGUGGGGUGAUGGCCUACCAAGGCGGUGACGGGUAGCCGGCCUGAGAGGGUGGACGGUCACACUGGGACUGAGACACGGCCCAGACUCCUACGAGAGGCAGCAGUGGGGAAUAUUGCACAAUGGGCGCAAGCCUGAUGCAGCGACGCCGCGUGAGGGAUGGAGGCCUUCGGGUUGUGAACCUCUUUCGCCAGUGAAGCAGGCCUGCCUCGUUUGUGGGUGGGUUGACGGUAGCUGGAUAAGAAGCGCCGGCUAACUACGUG
rnacentral:rRNA from 1 species